GACGAACGCUGGCGGCGUGCUUAACACAUGCAAGUCGAACGGAAAGGCCCUGCUUUUGUGGGGUGCUCGAGUGGCGAACGGGUGAGUAACACGUGAGUAACCUGCCCUUGACUUUGGGAUAACUUCAGGAAACUGGGGCUAAUACCGGAUAGGAGCUCCUGCUGCAUGGUGGUGGUUGGAAAGUUUCGGCGGUUGGGGAUGGACUCGCGGCUUAUCAGCUUGUUGGUGGGGUAGUGGCUUACCAAGGCUUUGACGGGUAGCCGGCCUGAGAGGGUGACCGGCGACAUUGGGACUGAGAUACGGCCCAGAAUCCUACGGGAGGCAGCAGUGGGGAAUAUUGCACAAUGGGCGGAAGCCUGAUGAAGCAACGCCGCGUGCGGGAUGACGGCCUUCGGGUUGUAAACAGCUUUCGACUGUGACGAAGCGUGAGUGACGGUAAUGGGUAAAGAAGCACCGGCUAACUACGUG
rnacentral:rRNA from 1 species